rnacentral:lncRNA from 1 species
AACGGUAACAUCCCUACCCUUAGUACAAAAGAUCCAGCCACCUCUUGGGAUGCACACGUUUCUCUUCAACUGCGUGAUGUGAACUGCGUCACAUGAUCACCAUCUACCCCUAUAACCACCAGCCCCAACCCAGGCUCACUGAAUUGGAAUUUCUGAAGGAUUCACUGAAGCUGUAAAACCAAGAUGAAGGCAAGGUUAAGAUUCUUCUGUAAGCUACCUUCUAGCAAAGAUGCUGUUCAGAUGACCAAUGUGCACUGCUGCACUGAGGAGCCCCUACCUAGCAUUUCAACAGCCUCCACUUUUAAUUAUUAUACUAACAUUUUGUCAACUGUCAAAUGCUUGGAAAUCAUUUAAUAUCUUCCCAUUUCUAUGCAACACAGUUAUUGAUAUUCAUGAAGUGAAUUCCUUCAGCAGUGUCUAGACUAAAUGUCAAUAGGGUCUGCUGAGGGAAAUACUUUUCACAGAGGGAGGGUAUUAAUAAUGGAAUUUAGAAAUUAUUUUUAAUUUGCUUUAAUAAAGGAUUAGAUG